UACGAAGGGGGCUAGCGUUGCUCGGAAUCACUGGGCGUAAAGCGUCUGCAGGUGGUUUCCUAAGUCCACUGUUAAACCUUGAGGCUCAACCUCAAAUCUGCAUUGGAAACUAGGAGACUUGAGUAUAGUAGGGGUAGAGGGAAUUUCCAGUGGAGCGGUGAAAUGCGUAGAUAUUGGAAAGAACACCGAUGGCGAAGGCACUCUACUGGGCUAUUACUGACACUCAGAGACGAAAGCUAGGGGAGCAAAUGGG
rnacentral:rRNA from 1 species